GACGAACGCUGGCGGCGUGCUUAACACAUGCAAGUCGAACGGAAAGGCCCCUUUGGGGGUACUCGAGUGGCGAACGGGUGAGUAACACGUGAGUAACCUGCCCUUGACUUCGGGAUAACUUCAGGAAACUGGGGCUAAUACCGGAUAGGAAUCCUUGCUGCAUGGUGGGGGUUGGAAAGCUUCGGCGGUUUUGGAUGGACUCGCGGCUUAUCAGCUUGUUGGUGGGGUAGUGGCUUACCAAGGCUUUGACGGGUAGCCGGCCUGAGAGGGCGACCGGCCACAUUGGGACUGAGAUACGGCCCAGACUCCUACGGGAGGCAGCAGUGGGGAAUAUUGAACAAUGGGCGGAAGCCUGAUGCAGCAACGCCGCGUGCGGGAUGACGGCCUUCGGGUUGUAAACCGAUUUCAGCAGGGGCGAAGCUUGUGGUGACGGUACCUGCAGAAGAAGCACCGGCUAACUACGUG
rnacentral:rRNA from 1 species